UCCUCGGUAGCUCAAUGGUAGAGCGUCCGGCUGUUAACCGGAUGGUUGCAGGUUCGAGUCCUGCCCGGGGAGCCA
rnacentral:tRNA from 3 species